rnacentral:rRNA from 1 species
GAUGAACGCUAGCGGCAGGCUUAAUACAUGCAAGUCGAGGGGCAGCAUGAGUGUAGCAAUACAUUUGAUGGCGACCGGCAAACGGGUGCGGAACACGUACACAACCUUCCUUUAAGUGGAGAAUAGCCCAGGGAAACUUGGAUUAAUACUCCGUAACAUAUAGAAGUGGCAUCAUUUUUAUAUUAAAGCUCAGGCGCUUAGAGAUGGGUGUGCGGCUGAUUAGGUAGUUGGCGGGGUAACGGCCCACCAAGCCUACGAUCAGUAACUGGUGUGAGAGCACGACCAGUCACACGGGCACUGAGACACGGGCCCGACUCCUACGGGAGGCAGCAGUAAGGAAUAUUGGUCAAUGGACGCAAGUCUGAACCAGCCAUGCCGCGUGGAGGAUGAAGGUCCUCUGGAUUGUAAACUUCUUUUAUCUGGGAAGAAAUCCAUUCUUUCUAAAAUGGUUGACGGUACCAGAUGAAUAAGCACCGGCUAACUCCGUGCCAGCAGCCGCGGUAAGAC